UACGUAGGGUGCAAGCGUUUGUCCGGAUUUAUUGGGCGUAAAGCGCGCGUAGGCGGCGCGGUAUGUCGUGCGUGAAAUCUCCCGGCUUAACUGGGAGGGGCCGUGCGAAACUGCCGGGCUUGAGGUCAGAAGGGGAAAGUGGAAUUCCGGGUGUAGUGGUGGAAUACGUAGAUAUCCGGAGGAACACCAGCGGCGAAGGCGGCUUUCUGGUCUGAUACUGACGCUGAGGCGCGAAAGCGUGGGGAGCAAACAGG
rnacentral:rRNA from 1 species